rnacentral:rRNA from 1 species
GUGGGGGAUAUUGCACAAUGGAGGAAACUCUGAUGCAGCGACGCCGCGUGAGUGAAGAAGUAUUUCGGUAUGUAAAGCUCUAUCAGCAGGGAAGAUAAUGACAGUACCUGACUAAGAAGCCCCGGCUAACUACGUGCCAGCAGCCGCGGUAAUACGUAGGGGGCAAGCGUUAUCCGGAUUUACUGGGUGUAAAGGGAGCGUAGACGGAAUGGCAAGUCUGAAGUGAAAUCCUGCGGCUUAACUGCAGAAUUGCUUUGGAAACUGUCAAUCUGGAGUGUUGGAGAGGUAAGCGGAAUUCCUGGUGUAGCGGUGAAAUGCGUAGAUAUUAGGAAGAACACCGGAGGCGAAGGCGGCUUACUGGACAAUAACUGACGUUGAGGCUCGAAAGCGUGGGAAGCAAACAGGAUUAGAAACCCUUGUAGUCC